UACGUAGGGUGCAAGCGUUGGCCGGAAUUAUUGGGCGUAAAGAGCUCGUAGGCGGUUCGUCACGUCGGCUGUGAAAACCUGAGGCUCAACCUCAGGCCUGCAGUCGAUACGGGCGGACUUGAGUACUGCAGGGGAGACUGGAAUUCCUGGUGUAGCGGUGAAAUGCGCAGAUAUCAGGAGGAACACCGGUGGCGAAGGCGGGUCUCUGGGCAGUAACUGACGCUGAGGAGCGAAAGCGUGGGGAGCGAACAGG
rnacentral:rRNA from 1 species